rnacentral:rRNA from 1 species
AUAUUGGGCAAUGGAGGAAACUCUGACCCAGCCAUGCCGCGUGCAGGAUGACGGCCCUCUGGGUUGUAAACUGCUUUUGUACGGGAAGAAAAAAUGCUACGUGUAGCACAUUGACGGUACCGUAAGAAUAAGGAUCGGCUAACUCCGUGCCAGCAGCCGCGGUAAUACGGAGGAUCCAAGCGUUGUCCGGAUUUAUUGGGUUUAAAGGGUGCGUAGGCGGAUCUUUAAGUCAGUGGUGAAAGCCUGCAGCUCAACUGUAGAACAGCCAUUGAAACUGAAGAUCUUGAAUAUGGUUAAAGUAGGCGGAAUGUAUCAUGUAGCGGUGAAAUGCUUAGAUAUGAUACAGAACACCGAUAGCGAAGGCAGCUUGCUGAACCAUUAUUGACGCUGAGGCACGAAAGCGUGGGGAGCAAACAGGAUUAGAUACCCUGGUAGUCCACGCCCUAAACGUUGAUUACUCGUUGUUGGCGAUAUACUGUCAGCGACUAAGCUAAAGCGUUAAGUAAUCCACCUGGGAAGUACGACCGCAAGGUUGAAACUCAAAGGAAUUGACGGGGGCCCGCACAAGCGGAGGAGCAUGUGGUUUAAUUCGAUGAUACGCGAGGAACCUUACCUGGGCUUGAAAGUUAGUGACCGCUCCUGAAAGGGAGCUUCUCUUCGGAGCACAAAACUAGGUGCUGCAUGGCUGUCGUCAGCUCGUGUCGUGAGGUGUUGGGUUAAGUCCCGCAACGAGCGCAACCCCUUUCUUUAGUUGCCAUCAGGUUAUGCUGGGGACUCUAAAGAUACUGCCUAUGUAAAUAGUGAGGAAGGUGGGGACGACGUCAAGUCAUCAUGGCCCUUACGUCCAGGGCUACACACGUGCUACAAUGGCAGUCACAGAUGGAUGCUACCUAGUAAUAAGAUGCUAAUCCCAAAAAGAUUGUCUCAGUUCGGAUUGAAGUCUGCAACUCGACUUCAUGAAGCUGGAUUCGCUAGUAAUCGCAUAUCAGCAAUGAUGCGGUGAAUACGUUCCCGGGCCUUGUACACACCGCCCGUCAAGCCAUGGAAGAUGGGAGUACCUAAAGUCGAUAACCGCAAGGAGUCGCCUAGGGUAAUACCGUUGACUGGGGCUAAGUCGUAACAAGGUAGCCGUACCGGGUGUGGCUG